AUUGAACGCUGGCGGCAGGCUUAACACAUGCAAGUCGAACGAGCGGCGGACGGGUGAGUAAUGUCUGGGAAACUGCCUGAUGGAGGGGGAUAACUACUGGAAACGGUAGCUAAUACCGCAUACCAUCAGAGCUGCCCAGAUGGGAUUAGCUAGGUGGUGGGGUAAGGGCUCACCUAGGCGACGAUCCCUAGCUGGUCUGAGAGGAUGACCAGCCAAACUGGAACUGGGACACGGUCCAGACUCCUACGGGAGGAAGCAGUGGGGAAUAGUGGACAAUGGGGGAAAGCCUGAUGCAGCCAUGCCGCGUGUGUGAAGAAGGCCUUCGGGUUGUAAAGCACUUUCAGCGGGGAGGCGUUACUCGCAGAAGAAGCACCGGCUAACUCCGUGCCAGCAGCCGCGGUAAUUC
rnacentral:rRNA from 1 species